AUUGCGAUAUGAAGUGUUCCUAAGUCAAUGAUAUUUCUAGGCCAUACAUAUUAUUACGUUACGAUAAGAAACACUUUUUUUUUAGCUAUUCAUAAGUUUUUUAGACGAAAGCAGUAACUUGCUUAUUCACUGACCUAUGUACUACGUGGCUCAUGGAAAUAUCUUGGAAACUUUUACGUACAUAAUUGUGUGUGUUAUACGUAAUAUUUUGAAAUUUCAUUAGCGUCGUAAGAAGACGCCGGUAUCAUGAUUACAUCGAUAAAAUUUGAAACUAAUCUGAGAAUGUAUGUUACAGUUACAAAAUAUUUAUUGCAAGUACAGGAUGUAACAGAACAUGUGGCAGCCACUCAGGGAACUGAUUGCACACCAAUGAAAACAAUGAAAGAAUUUUAUAUAAACAUAGAAUCUAUUGUGUACGGAAUACCUAUUAAAAAUGUUGAUAUAUUCAGAAUGGAACAAGUUUUUCAACAUCAGGAAUCAUUCAAAGUUUAACCGGAUUCAUGAUAAGAAGUUUACAGCCUUGCCUUGAAAUGCGAGUUGGUAACUUUGAGCAUCUUCUUUUAAGGCGUAAAAUGGGUCCUGCAUGUUCUGUCACGUCCUGCAUAUAUUUAAUGAAAACUUAGUUUGCAACACGAAUAGUCACUUUAAACGUAUAAUUAGUGUUAAAGAUCAGCCCAUUGAAUACUAAGUCUUAUUAACUAGAAUAUUAAAUAUUUCGUUUCAUUUGCGACGUAUGCGAAGCAUAUACUCGCACCAAACAUUUUGUAAUUUCAAUGUACAUGUUUAAAUUUGUUUCAAAUUUUAUGAGUAUAAUUAUGAUGGCGGAGUCUCAUUACAGUGAUAAUAAAAUUUCGAAAUAUUUCAUAUAACACACGUGAUCUCUUCAUUAAAAGUUUCUACAGGCGUGUUUAAAUACUUUAGUGAGCAACAGUAAAUAUAUAUGGGAUAUUUAUCACUUCACAGGUGAAAGGAAUUAAUAAACAAAAGUUUUAUUUAACAAAGUUCUGUUUUUACCUGGUAUACAUAUGUAUCUAAGCCAAGCACGAGCCGAUGAGAAGAACUUCUGAUACCAACUACCGAACAAAUACACCUACUUACGUAUGUGCAUACAGUGUAGGGGAAGUUCAGUCUGGGAUUUAGAUCAAAUCGUCGAUCUCCAAGGAAGUUGGAAUUAAAUUCCGGAAAGUCACAAGUCUCGUACGUUUUCCUCUUAUCUACGCUAGAUCUGUCUACCACUGAAAAGUAUAACACAAGCUCGGUCGACUCCGCUAAUAGAGCUGCCUUUCUACACGAGGCACCUAGUGGCUAGAGUCGUAUCCGACGUUCGAGUUUCUCUCUGUUGCACAGCCACAGGCAGAAGAGAAAGGAAAACGCGGCGAAAAAUCUGAAUGCGCGGCCUCACCAAGCCAGAACCAAGGCAUAAUUACGAAAACGCAUUUAUGAGCCGACGCGUAUGAACGUUAUAGAAAUACGGGACCAGGGAAAAAAUGUUAAAGCCUGGCAUCGACAUCGGAAAAUUAUUUUCUCAGCGACAUUCCGAUACAUCGACCAUCGACCGUCUCAAAAGCCUCUGGCUGCGCGUUUGAAUUCGUAUUUCCUAGCGCGAGUAAUAUUUCAUAAAAAAUAGAAAAUGAAAUAUGUUUUUUUAGAAGUAAUGCUAGUGUUUAUGCUAAACUAUUUAAGUGUACAAAUAUUGUAUAUUUAUCUAAAUAUAAUAGAUGUACGUAAGAAUAUUAAUGAAAGAUGAAACGCAUAUUUUUAUAUUAAGAUUGGAAUAUAGUAUUCAUAUUUGGAUAAAUGGUGCUUAUAUAAA